rnacentral:lncRNA from 1 species
UGUCUAUAGCAAUGAACCAAUAAUAUAGUUCAAAUGAAGUUCACUUAUUAACUAUCAAUUGAUAAAAACAGCGAAAUUUUAAAUGAAACAACAUAACGUGAAAUUUUGCCCAUUUUCAGCGUGUAUUUUAGUGUUUUUUUUCAAAACGGUAACACCUAUACAUAAUAUUUGAUAUUCAUUGUGAAGCCCUACAUUCUCUUCUUCAGUUCAAAGAUGUAUUACUUAUGUAAAGUUUAUCUUCUUGUCUUUACAAGCCUAUAACAUAGACCCAAUAUGAAAUGCACAUCUGAUCUUGGCUAGGCCGUUUGUUUUUAACUGGACUUUC